rnacentral:rRNA from 1 species
GUGCCAGCAGCCGCGGUAAUACGUAGGGGGCGAGCGUUGUCCGAAUUCACUGGGCGUAAAGCGCGCGUAGGCGGGUUCUUAAGUUGGGGGUGAAAUGCCGAGGCUUAACCUCGGAACUGCCUCCAAAACUGGGAGCCUUGAGGUAUGGAGAGGGAAGUGGAAUUCCUGGUGUAGCGGUGAAAUGCGUAGAUAUCAGGAGGAACACCUGUGGCGAAGGCGGCUUCCUGGCCAUAUCCUGACGCUGAGGUGCGAAAGCUAGGGGAGCGAACGGGAUUAGAUACCCCGGUAGUCCUAGCCGUAAACGAUGGAUACUAGGUGUUAGAGGUAUCGACCCCUCUAGUGCCGCAGCUAACGCAUUAAGUAUCCCGCCUGGGGAGUACGGCCGCAAGGCUGAA